rnacentral:rRNA from 1 species
GAUGAACGCUGGCGGCGUGCCUAAUACAUGCAAGUCGAGCGAACGGACGAGAAGCUUGCUUCUCUGAUGUUAGCGGCGGACGGGUGAGUAACACGUGGAUAACCUACCUAUAAGACUGGGAUAACUUCGGGAAACCGGAGCUAAUACCGGAUAAUAUUUUGAACCGCAUGGUUCAAAAGUGAAAGACGGUCUUGCUGUCACUUAUAGAUGGAUCCGCGCUGCAUUAGCUAGUUGGUAAGGUAACGGCUUACCAAGGCAACGAUGCAUAGCCGACCUGAGAGAGUGAUCGGCCACACUGGAAGUGAGACGCGGUCCAGACUCCUACGGGAGGCAGCAGUAGGGAAUCUUCCGCAAUGGGCGAAAGCCUGACGGAGCAACGCCGCGUGAGUGAUGAAGGUCUUCGGAUCGUAAAACUCUGUUAUUAGGGAAGAACAUAUGUGUAAGUAACUGUGCACAUCUUGACGGUACCUAAUCAGAAAGCCACGGCUAACUACGUG